rnacentral:rRNA from 1 species
AUUGAACGCUGGCGGCAGGCCUAACACAUGCAAGUCGAGCGAGCGGCGGACGGGUGAGUAAUGUAUGGGGACUGCCCGAUAGAGGGGGAUAACUACUGGAAACGGUGGCUAAUACCGCAUACUAUCGGAUAACCCAUUGGGGAUUAGUGAGUAGGUGGGGUAAAGGCUCACCUAGGCGACGAUCUCUAGCUGGUCUGAGAGGAUGAUCAGCCACACUGUGACUUGGACACGGCCCCGACUCAUACGGAGGCAGAAGUGGGGAAUAUUGCACAAUGGGCGCAAGCCUGAUGAAGCCAUGCCUCGUGUAUGAAGAAGGCCUUAGGGUUGUAAAGUACUUUCAGCGGGGAGGCGUUACCCGCAGAAGAAGCACCGGCUAACUCCGUGCCAGCCGCCGCGGUAAUUC